UACGGAGGGGGCUAGCGUUAUUCGGAAUUAUUGGGCGUAAGGGGCGUGUAGGCGGCUUCGUAAGUCCCAUUGUGAAAGCCCUCGGCUCAACCGAGGAAUUGCAUGGGAAACUGCGGAGCUUGAGUCCGGGAGAGGAGAGCGGAAUUCCCAGUGUAGCGGUGAAAUGCGUAGAUAUUGGGAGGAACACCGGUGGCGAAGGCGACAUCCUGGACCAACACUGACGCUGAGUGAGCGAAAGCCAGGGGAGCAAACGGG
rnacentral:rRNA from 1 species